rnacentral:rRNA from 1 species
CGGGAGGCAGCAGCAGUGAGGAAUAUUGCACAAUGGGGGGAACCCUGAUGCAGCAACGCCGCGUGGAGGAUGACGCAUUUCGGUGUGUAAACUCCUUUUAUAUGUCAAGAAAAUGACGGUAGCAUAUGAAUAAGCACCGGCUAACUCCGUGCCAGCAGCCGCGGUAAUACGGAGGGGGCAAGCGUUACUCGGAAUCACUGGGCGUAAAGGACGCGUAGGCGGGUUGGAAAGUCAGGUGUGAAAUCCUACAGCUUAACUGUAGAACUGCACUUGAAACUUCUAAUCUAGAGUAUGGGAGGGGGAGAUGGAAUUAGUGGUGUAGGGGUAAAAUCCGUAGAUAUCACUAGGAAUACCUAAAGCGAAGGCGAUCUCCUGGAACAUUACUGACGCUAAGGCGUGAAAGCGUGGGGAGCAAACAGGAUUAGAUACCCUAGUAGUC